rnacentral:lncRNA from 1 species
GUCAUAGGGAACAUGUGUACUAAGUUUCAAGUUGAUGUAACUUUAACUUCAUCAAAAACUACCUUGACCAAAAACUUUAACCUGAACUUCGCACUAUCAUUUUCUAUGUUCAGUGGACCAUGUAAUUGGGGUCAAAACUAUAAUUUGGCAUUAAAAUUAGAAAGAUCAUAUCAUGGGGAACAUGUGUACUAAGUUUCAAAUUGAUUGGACUUCAACUUCAUCAAAAAAUACCUCGACCAAAAACUUUAACCUGAAGCGGGACGAACGGACGCACAGACGGACGCACAGACGAACGAACGAACGGAGGCACAGACCAGA